rnacentral:rRNA from 1 species
UGGGGAAUAUUGGACAAUGGGCGCAAGCCUGAUCCAGCCAUGCCGCGUGUGUGAAGAAGGCCUUAUGGUUGUAAAGCACUUUAAGCGAGGAGGAGGCUACUGAAGUUAAUACCUUCAGAUAGUGGACGUUACUCGCAGAAUAAGCACCGGCUAACUCUGUGCCAGCAGCCGCGGUAAUACAGAGGGUGCAAGCGUUAAUCGGAUUUACUGGGCGUAAAGCGCGCGUAGGCGGCUAAUUAAGUCAAAUGUGAAAUCCCCGAGCUUAACUUGGGAAUUGCAUUCGAUACUGGUUAGCUAGAGUGUGGGAGAGGAUGGUAGAAUUCCAGGUGUAGCGGUGAAAUGCGUAGAGAUCUGGAGGAAUACCGAUGGCGAAGGCAGCCAUCUGGCCUAACACUGACGCUGAGGUGCGAAAGCAUGGGGAGCAAACAGGAUUAGAUACCCUGGUAGUCCAUGCCGUAAACGAUGUCUACUAGCCGUUGGGGCCUUUGAGGCUUUAGUGGCGCAGC